GUACAGUGUCGCAAUAACGAUGACAGGCAUUAUCUCUUGAUCUGGGUCUCUUAUACUCUGAAGAUGGCUUUGGAAACAUGAAGCUCUGGAAACGUGAUCUGUAUUGAGAGUUGUGCCAUGAAGAAAUUGCAAGGGUGUGGUACAGGUGUG